rnacentral:rRNA from 1 species
UACAGAGGGUGCAAGCGUUAAUCGGAAUUACUGGGCGUAAAGCGCGCGUAGGUGGUUUGUUAAGUUGAAUGUGAAAUCCCCGGGCUCAACCUGGGAACUGCAUCCAAAACUGGCAAGCUAGAGUAGGGUAGAGGGUGGUGGAAUUUCCUGUGUAUCGGUGAAAUGCGUAGAUAUAGGAAGGAACACCAGUGGCGAAGGCGACCACCUGGACUCAUACUGACACUGAGGUGCGAAAGCGUGGGGAGCAAACAAG